ACACAAAGUCUGAGUGCUUGUCUGAAAGUUUUCCCAUCAGUAAGACUCCUCCAAUCUUUAGACUGAGCAAAAAUGACAUCCUGGAUAAACCUCAUAUUGUUAGCAGUAGUCCUCACAGGUGUCCAGUCAGAGGUCCAGUUGGUGGAGUCUGGAGGGGAUGUGAGAAGACCCGGAGAGUCCCUCCGUCUCUCCUGCCAAGGCUCCGGAUUCAGCUUCAGCGGCUAUAGCAUGGACUGGGUGAGGCAGUAUCCAGGGAAAGGACUGGAAUGGGUGGCAUACAUAAGCUCGGGUUCCAGCACCAUUUACUACUCAGACAAGGUCAAGGGACGCUUCACCAUCUCCAGGGACAAUGCCAAAAGCCAGCUGUAUCUGCAAAUGAACAACCUCAAACUGGAGGACACGGGACGCUAUUACUGUGCACGAGAGGCACAGUGA